GGUCAGGUGGUGUAGUGGUACCCUUGCUAUAUAUGCAGAAGCCCUGGGUUCAAUUCCCAGUCUGGCCA